AUUGAACGCUGGCGGCAUGCCUUACACAUGCAAGUCGAACGGCAGCACGGGAGCAAUCCUGGUGGCGAGUGGCGAACGGGUGAGUAAUAUAUCGGAACGUGCCCAGUCGUGGGGAUAACGUAGCGAAAGCUACGCUAAUACCGCAUACUAUCUAUGGAUGAAAGCGGGGGAUCGCAAGACCUCGCGCGAUUGGAGCGGCCGAUAUCAGAUUAGGUAGUUGGUGAGGUAAAGGCUCACCAAGCCGACGAUCUGUAGCUGGUCUGAGAGGACGACCAGCCACACUGGGACUGAGACACGGCCCAGACUCCUACGGGAGGCAGCAGUGGGGAAUUUUGGACAAUGGCGGCAACGACCUCGAUCCACGCAAUAGCCGCGUCG
rnacentral:rRNA from 1 species